CGAAAGUCGGUAACACCCGUAAGCCCGGUGGCCAACCCCCCUUCUGGGAGGGAGGCUGUCGAAGUGGGACUGGCGAUUGGGACGAAGUCGUAACAAGGUAGCCGUACCCGGAACGGUGCGGCUGGAUCACCUCCUUU
rnacentral:ncRNA from 1 species